UCCCUGGUAGCUCAGAUGGUAAAAGCGUCUGCCUACAAUGUGGGAGACCUGGGUUCAAUCCCUAGGUCGGGAA
rnacentral:tRNA from 1 species